UCAUUUCCUUCCUGCACCUAAAUUAACUCACACCUGACCCAGGCAUUAGACACAAUAUAGACUAACAUGUCCCUUGCGAACUUCUCACCCUGUGCCAAGUACCUGGUGUUGACACUGGAAGUAACUCAUCCCUGUGACAGACACAAGGCAUUUUUUAGGGAAAUGGUGGGGAAAUGAAGAACCUACAGGAGCUUUCCUGAGUGCUCAAGGUCCCAUCCUGUAACCUCCACCUUCAGACACAGGUCUCCUCUCUGCAGGUCAUCUUCCUGAAGAAAAGCUGUCAUGUUGGUGCUUGGGAUCUGCAAAUACCUGGAUGUUCUCAUUUAAAUGGCACAUGGAUGUGCAGACAUCGACCAUAUCAUAAGGGCUGAGCACCCCAAUUCAGCAUCCAGCACCUUGAACAACCCAGAGCCCAGGCUGGAAGGGCGAUGGCUGAAGGUGGAACAGACAAGCAGAGACACUUGGCCAGAUUCUCCCUCCUGACACAUCAUUCAACGGAAACUUUUUCAGAAACAACCACAACAAAAAUCAGUGGCUGAAACCUCACUGCCUGUGGCUGGACCACGGUGAGAUUUCAUACCCCAAGCAAGGCUGGAACCAGUAUUUAGUGAAGUUGGGUCACCUCCAAGAAAGCACAGAUCCAAGAAUUAUGUUGAACUUCCGGCUAGACAAAACUAAAGUUGCACUUUUUCUCCCCAAA